CACGUAGGGUGCGAGCGUUGUCCGGAAUUAUUGGGCGUAAAGAGCUCGUAGGCGGUGUGUCGCGUCGGCCGUGAAAACCUGCAGCUUAACUGUGGGCUUGCGGUCGAUACGGGCAUCACUGGAGUUCGGCAGGGGAGACUGGAAUUCCUGGUGUAGCGGUGAAAUGCGCAGAUAUCAGGAGGAACACCGGUGGCGAAGGCGGGGUCUCUGGGGCCGUAA
rnacentral:rRNA from 1 species